AGAGUUUGAUCAUGGCUCAGAUUGAACGCUGGCGGCAGGCCUAACACAUGCAAGUCGAGCGGUAGCACAGAGAGCUUGCUCUCGGGUGACGAGCGGCGGACGGGUGAGUAAUGUCUGGGAAACUGCCUGAUGGAGGGGGAUAACUACUGGAAACGGUAGCUAAUACCGCAUAACGUCGCAAGACCAAAGUGGGGGACCUUCGGGCCUCAUGCCAUCAGAUGUGCCCAGAUGGGAUUAGCUAGUAGGUGGGGUAACGGCUCACCUAGGCGACGAUCCCUAGCUGGUCUGAGAGGAUGACCAGCCACACUGGAACUGAGACACGGUCCAGACUCCUACGGGAGGCAGCAGUGGGGAAUAUUGCACAAUGGGCGCAAGCCUGAUGCAGCCAUGCCGCGUGUGUGAAGAAGGCCUUCGGGUUGUAAAGCACUUUCAGCGGGGAGGAAGGCGUUAAGGUUAAUAACCUGUCGAUUGACGUUACCCGCAGAAGAAGCACCGGCUAACUCCGUGCCAGCAGCCGCGGUAAUACGGAGGGUGCAAGCGUUAAUCGGAAUUACUGGGCGUAAAGCGCACGCAGGCGGUCUGUCAAGUCGGAUGUGAAAUCCCCGGGCUCAACCUGGGAACUGCAUUCGAAACUGGCAGGCUAGAGUCUUGUAGAGGGGGGUAGAAUUCCAGGUGUAGCGGUGAAAUGCGUAGAGAUCUGGAGGAAUACCGGUGGCGAAGGCGGCCCCCUGGACAAAGACUGACGCUCAGGUGCGAAAGCGUGGGGAGCAAACAGGAUUAGAUACCCUGGUAGUCCACGCCGUAAACGAUGUCGAUUUGGAGGUUGUGCCCUUGAGGCGUGGCUUCCGGAGCUAACGCGUUAAAUCGACCGCCUGGGGAGUACGGCCGCAAGGUUAAAACUCAAAUGAAUUGACGGGGGCCCGCACAAGCGGUGGAGCAUGUGGUUUAAUUCGAUGCAACGCGAAGAACCUUACCUGGUCUUGACAUCCACAGAACUUUCCAGAGAUGGAUUGGUGCCUUCGGGAACUGUGAGACAGGUGCUGCAUGGCUGUCGUCAGCUCGUGUUGUGAAAUGUUGGGUUAAGUCCCGCAACGAGCGCAACCCUUAUCCUUUGUUGCCAGCGGUCCGGCCGGGAACUCAAAGGAGACUGCCAGUGAUAAACUGGAGGAAGGUGGGGAUGACGUCAAGUCAUCAUGGCCCUUACGACCAGGGCUACACACGUGCUACAAUGGCAUAUACAAAGAGAAGCGACCUCGCGAGAGCAAGCGGACCUCAUAAAGUAUGUCGUAGUCCGGAUUGGAGUCUGCAACUCGACUCCAUGAAGUCGGAAUCGCUAGUAAUCGUAGAUCAGAAUGCUACGGUGAAUACGUUCCCGGGCCUUGUACACACCGCCCGUCACACCAUGGGAGUGGGUUGCAAAAGAAGUAGGUAGCUUAACCUUCGGGAGGGCGCUUACCACUUUGUGAUUCAUGACUGGGGUGAAGUCGUAACAAGGUAACCGUAGGGGAACCUGCGGUUG
rnacentral:rRNA from 1 species